AGUCAAGGUGAAAGUAAAAAGCAUUGGUGCUACUGUAGAUGCCAACAGACUACCAGCAAACACAAUGUUUUCAGGACUUCUACAACUAGGAUAAAGUGACAUAGUCCAGGACCCGAGGUCAACAGUUUAGCGGCGCUACAACACGCUACAGCAGGUCCCAUUUGACAAGAAACACUUCUGUUACAGACACUUGGCUUACUUUGUUAAAGCGGUUUACCUGUCCAGCAGAAAGGUUACAGGGUCACCAAGAUCCCGAAGCGUCCCCCAUCAUUUAUGUUGACCCGGC